UGGUAAUGAUGAGAAAAAAGGCCGAUCUUACGGCUGCCAUUUAUUUCAAUGGUAGUAGCUUGAUGGAUGCUUCUGAGUCUAAGGUUUCUGAGCCAG